rnacentral:lncRNA from 1 species
CCUGUGAGUAAUUUGAGCAUGGCAGCCACGUAGAUGUGUCCAGGUACUGCUGGCACCAUGGGAAUACGACCUUGCUGCAUGUUGAACAGGUUUUAGGGGCAUCUGUCCAUUCCAGUUGCUUAAAAGGCAAAAUUAAUUGAAGGUCGCCCUCCGUGCCUUGAGUUCCACCUACAGACCACUGCAAGGUGUGGAGCUACUUGUAUUCUAUUUUGUGUAGCCUCUCCCCAGUCCCUAGGUUUGCCUGACCCUGAACCGAGCACAACAAUCCCUGAGUGGUGACCACAACCAGCAGUUCACCUAUAUCACCGUGGCCAGAACGGAGUCAAGUCAUCGUGGAACUGGUGCUGCGGGCAGCCUCACCGUGGACCGAUCGACUGGAGUCAUCCCUGGUCAAUCUCGCGCACGC